ACGAGUAUCUAUGAGAGGGCAAGUCUGGUGCCAGCAGCCGCGGUAAUUCCAGCUCUCAGAAUGCAUAGAACCAUUGCUGCGGUUAAAAAGCUCGUAGUUGGAUUUGUGCGUGGGUAUGGACUCGGCUCCGGUCGUGCUCUGUAUCCCGCGCUUCGUGCCGGACGCACGCGUCGCGGGCCCCCGGGUCCGCCGCGUCGGCUGGCGACUUUACUUUGAACAAAUCAGAGUGCUCAAGACAGGCUCUACGCCUGAAUGCUCGUGCAUGGAAUAAUAGAAAAGGGCUUCGGUCCGAUUUUGUUGGUUUUGCGGCCGAGGCAAUGAUCAAUAGGGGCGGACGGGGGCAUUCGUACUUCUGCGUGAGAGGUGAAAUUUUUGGACCGCAGGAAGACGCACGACAGCGAAGGCAAUUGCCAAGCACGUCCCCGUUAAUCAAGAACGAAAGUCAGAGGAUCGAAGGCGAUUAGAUACCGCCCUAGUUCUGACCGUAAACGAUGCCAACUAGCGAUCCGGCGGCGAGCUCGCGCUCUCGCUGGGGAGCUUCCCGGAAACGAAAGUCUUCCGGUUCCGGGGGAAGUAUGGUUGCAAAGCUGAAACUUAAAGGAAUUGACGGAAGGGCACCACCAGGAGUGGAGCCUGCGGCUUAAUUUGACUCAACACGGGGAACCUCACCCGGGCACGACACCGCGGGGAUUGACGGACUGCAGCUCUUUCAUGAUUCGGUGAGUGGUGGUGCAUGGCCGUUCUUAGUUCGUGGAGUGAUCAGUCAGGUUAAUUCCGGUAACGAGCGAGACUCCAGCCUACUAGUUGGGAGCUGUGCUCCUCGGAGCGCAGUGACUUCUUAGAGGGAUCUACGGCGAACAAUAGCCGAAAGAGAUGGAGCGAUAACAGGUCUGUGAUGCCCCUUGAUGCCCGGGGCUGCAC
rnacentral:rRNA from 1 species